rnacentral:rRNA from 1 species
UACAGAGGGUGCAAGCGUUGUUCGGAAUUAUUGGGCGUAAAGCGCGUGUAGGCGGCUUUGCAAGUCGGGUGUGAAAGCCCUCAGCUCAACUGAGGAAGUGCGCCCGAAACUGCAGAGCUUGAGUGCCGGAGAGGGUGGCGGAAUUCCCCAAGUAGAGGUGAAAUUCGUAGAUAUGGGGAGGAACACCCGUGGCGAAAGCGGCUCUCUGGGACGGUACUGACGCUGAGACGCGAAAGCGUGGGGAGCAAACAGGAU